CUCUCCCACCCAUCAGCCACACUCACCCCUCUCCAUCCUGCGUGGAUGCCAUCAGCCAGCUCUCUGGAGACCUGGCUCUGGUCGGGCUUGCUAAGACACCAGGGAAGCCCUAAGUAAACAAAGGAAGAUCCUUAACUCCCUGGGGCAGGCUUGGAAUCUGACAGUGUAACCAAGGUCAAAGAACCCGGAAAGGAUGGGCAGGGAUGGAGGCGGGAGACAGAAUCAUGUUGACAGGAAGUAAAGAAGUCUUGAUAAUAAACAAGAGUCUCAUUUUUAA